AUCAAAGCGACGAAGUAGCAUAGUAGUUGUCAACAUGGACAUUAGAAACUUAGUGGUUACUGCAAACUAAGCAACGGUUGAUUAAUGAAUUACACUACGGAGCUUUCAUAAUGAACGGAUCAUCACGUUAUCGAUGUCGAGUGGAACAUUUAUGUUCAAUUCAAGGUGGUAACGCGGAAAAUUUCGUCCCUGAU
rnacentral:ncRNA from 1 species